ACUGAGCGGAGAGCGAACGAAACCCUCAGCUCUGAGCGGUGAGCGGAAUGAACUCGGCUCAGAUCGGAAACCCUCGGCACUGAGGGGGAAGUGAAGACCGGAGCUCGGAUCAGUUCGGAAACGCUCGGCGACGAGAAGGAAUGGGAUCCGCUCUAGGGGUCUCACGACUGGCCGUUAUUCGAUAUACCAAGGGCGUGGCCUGGAAGAUUAGCUUUGGAGUUUCAGGAUUUUGUGACUCUGGAGGCAGGUGGACUUGAGGUCGGUGCAUCCGCAGGAAUGCAUGCAGGAAAUCGGUGAUUCGUGGGAGAUGGAAGAUCUCUGGCUGUGUGCCCAGAGACUCAAGUUCUUUGGGCACGGAGCUCGGACGCAAUGGACUUUUAACAUUGUAAAUCACUUGGAUGUGAUUCUGGAAUGGUUGGAGUCUGUAAUUUGCAUUUUGGAGAUCGUUUGGGUGGUUCAGCGCUCUGCAGUCUCCAAGAGGAUUCCAGGAGGCAGAAACAGCAUGGGCAAAUCUCAUGGCGUGAAGGCUGCAGCAUGGGGUGUGAGCCAAUGUACGACCCCAUUUCACCAAUUAACGCGACGAGGGAGAUUGAAACAGAGACGAAUGCAAAAGUCAAGCACCAGCUACCCGCCUUUUGAUCGAUAGUGGGAUCACUCUGCUGCACGAACGGGGAGACUGCCUUUUGAUUGCUCUGCUACAGGAGAGGGGAAGCUGCCUUUUGAUAGCUGGUGGGAUGGCUCUGCUGUCAGAGAGGGAAAGGCCUCCCACUGUGUCCGGAGAAUGUUACCCGGGUUUUCUGUAUUUUGAAUAUGGACUUGGACCAUAGACCUUUUUUCAGUCUUAACAGUUUUUUAUAUUCUGUGUUUUUCACCUGAUCUCUCAUUAUUUUUAAUGUGCAGUGAAGGGGAUUUAGGGGUCAAUGUACCUAUUCCAAUAUUUUGUACAGAGAGGAGAGAUUUGGGGGUUGAUGAUGGUGCUGCCAUUCUUUUCUUUCUUGGUUUCAUGGCUAUCUGGAGAAGAAGAAUUUCAGAGUUGUAUACUUGUAUAAUAAAUGAACCUUUGAAUAUUUAUCAUUAUACAUUUGUUUCUUUUAAAAGGGAAGGCAGUGUAAUAUACAUAUGCACCAAAUGAUGUGACCUCCACUAUAUUGUUAUAUCAGCUCUGCAAGUAGUAGAAUGCCAUUCACCUUUAAGAAAGGAUAUUAGAAAUUUCAGUUUUAUUACUUGCCUUACUGAAUGGCAGUCUAGAAGAAAUCUCAAACAUUACAGUAAAAAAAAACAAAAAACUGGAAACCAUGAGUAAAUGCUUGAUCAAAGUAUAUUUUAAGGACAAGAGUUUCUGAAGAUGCUGGGAAUCUUGAGCAAAAUAAAAAUGUUGGAGGAACACAGCAAGUCAGCCAGCAUCAAUGGAGGAGAAUAAACAGUCGACAUGUUGGGCCAGGACCUGAUGAAGGGUCUCAGCCUGAAAUGUCAACUGUUUAUUUCCCUCCAUGGAUGUUGCCUAACUUGCUGAGUUCCUCCAGCACUCUAUGUGUAUAUUUUAAGGAAACUCUGAAAGUGUGAGAAAGAGAUGGAGAUGGAAUUGGUGAAUGAAGGGAGCCUACAACAUAGAACAUUUCUAUAAGCUUGGUUGCAGCAAUGGGGUGUAGAAAGUGGAGAAGCUCAAGACAUCAGUGUUCCUGGUUUUAAAAGCUAGCAAAGUUAGUGAUGGGGUGGCCAUGUAAAGUUUGAUUGUAUGGAUAACAAUUUUUAAAGUCAAAAUAUUGAUGGUCAGAAGCCAAGCUGUGCCAAUGGUUAAAGUGUGAAGUGGUCACAACGGCUAUAAGGUUGCAGAGUUUUGGAUGAACCCAAGCUGAGAGAGGAAUUAAAACAGGAAGCCCUACACCUGAACAUUGGAAUAUCAUUUCUGAGGUAACCAGAUAAUUGUUUUAGCCAAAGAUCUACAGUAGCGAAGGGAAAAUGUGGUUUGUAAUAGUGAUGUAAAUACGCAAGUGGCAUGUGAACAUGGAGUUAAUUUUUAUCCCAUAUGUUAGAAUCAAUAAGUGUACUAGGUACUACUCAGUCAGCAUUGUGUCCUAAUUUAUUGUACACAUUUUCAAGUUCUUUGAUCUAAUA